GCUUGUCUCAAAGAUUAAGCCAUGCAUGUCUCAGCAUAAGCUUCAACACGGUGAAACUGCAAAUGGCUCAUUAAAGCAGUUACAAUUUAUUUGAUGGUCACUGUUACAUGGAUAACUGUGGUAAUUCUAGAGCUAAUACAUGCAUCAAAACCUGACUCUUGGGAAGGGUUGUGUUUAUUAGAUACAAAACCAAUUCAGGUUCUUCCUGAUUCCUCUGGUGAUUCAUGAUAACUUUGCGAAUCGCAUAGCUUUAAUGCUGGCGAUGGGUCAUUCAAAUUUCUGCCCUAUCAACUUUCGACGGUAGGAUAGAGGCCUACUGUGGUGAUAACGGGUAACGAAGAAUAAGGGUUCGAUUUCGGAGAGGGAGCCUGAGAAACGGCUACCACAUCCAAGGAAGGCAGCAGG
rnacentral:rRNA from 1 species